rnacentral:lncRNA from 1 species
CCAAAGAUUGAGUUCAAUAUGUUCAAUAGGUGCAGAGAGCUUCUGGUUCAUGAACACGUUGAAAAUUCGGAGAGUGGCAUGCCCAGAGGGAGCCUGGGAGUUCCAUGUCCCUUCACCACAUCUCUUGCUAUCAUUCUCAGGCACAGACUCUCACUGUCGGUCCAGAGUGACUGCGGAGCUGCAUUCCUCUCCUGAUAACCCAGGACGUAUCAAGAGCCUUGGGGAUCACUUGGAAACGCCACGCCUCAUGGCAGCCCCAGUCAACGGGAAGGGCUGAG